CCGCUCAGGAUGAACGCUGGCGGCGUGCCUAAUACAUGCAAGUCGAGCGAACUGAUUAGAAGCUUGCUUCUAUGACGUUAGCGGCGGACGGGUGAGUAACACGUGGGCAACCUGCCUGUAAGACUGGGAUAACUUCGGGAAACCGAAGCUAAUACCGGAUAGGAUCUUCUCCUUCAUGGGAGAUGAUUGAAAGAUGGUUUCGGCUAUCACUUACAGAUGGGCCCGCGGUGCAUUAGCUAGUUGGUGAGGUAACGGCUCACCAAGGCAACGAUGCAUAGCCGACCUGAGAGGGUGAUCGGCCACACUGGGACUGAGACACGGCCCAGACUCCUACGGGAGGCAGCAGUAGGGAAUCUUCCGCAAUGGACGAAAGUCUGACGGAGCAACGCCGCGUGAGUGAUGAAGGCUUUCGGGUCGUAAAACUCUGUUGUUAGGGAAGAACAAGUACGAGAGUAACUGCUCGUACCUUGACGGUACCUAACCAGAAAGCCACGGC
rnacentral:rRNA from 1 species